GAGUUUCGCUAGGGGUGCUGCACCAUCGAUCCGUCGACGGCGCGGCUGAGAAAGUCCCUUUGAACCUGAUUGAGGUAAUCCUCGCGCAGGGAAGCAUGCCUUCGACACG
rnacentral:ncRNA from 2 species